rnacentral:rRNA from 1 species
AUGAGAGUUUGAUCCUGGCUCAGGACGAACGCUGGCGGCGUGCCUAAUACAUGCAAGUCGAACGCUUCUUUUUCCCCCGGAGCUUGCUCCACCGGAAAAAGAGGAGUGGCGAACGGGUGAGUAACACGUGGGUAACCUGCCCAUCAGAAGGGGAUAACACUUGGAAACAGGUGCUAAUACCGUAUAACAAUC